rnacentral:lncRNA from 1 species
CUUGGAAUGGUAGAGUGCUUCCCUCAAUGGAUGGAAGGAGACUGGAUCCCUCUGACACUGACUGGAAGAGCUCUGCUAAGCAAAGCUGCGAGCUCAUGAAAGACUGUGAGGAGAGUAAGAGGAAACUUACCAAAGGCUGACUUUGCACCAAGAAUCAUUAUAGGUACUGGAAAAUUUAAAAGAUGAAGGAGGUGGAGUCAUUUUUUCCUAAGGAGCUGGGAGAGGAGAUAAGAAAUGGGAUCAAAUAAUGAACAACAAGUUUCAAAGGGAUCAGAGUCCAAUAAAGUGGCUGUACCAACAUCAGCCUUGAAAGGGCUCAAUCCAGCAGAUCCUGUCCCACUUGGAACCUGGCUAUGAGUGAGAAAACAUCUGUGGUUGGAAAAUGGGGCUGGUGAUUCAGGCCUGUUUGGGAAG